rnacentral:rRNA from 1 species
UACGGAGGGUGCAAGCGUUAAUCGGAAUUACUGGGCGUAAAGCGCGCGUAGGUGGUUCAGUAAGUUGGAAGUGAAAUCCCCGGGCUCGACCUGGGAACUGCUUUCAAAACUGCUGAGCUAGAGUACGGUAGAGGGUAGUGGAAUUUCCUGUGUAGCGGUGAAAUGCGUAGAUAUAGGAAGGAACACCAGUGGCGAAGGCGACUACCUGGACUGAUACUGACACUGAGGUGCGAAAGCGUGGGGAGCAAACAGG